rnacentral:rRNA from 1 species
CCUACGGGUGGCAGCAGUGAGGAAUAUUGGUCAAUGGACGAGAGCCUGAACCAGCCAAGUAGCGUGAAGGAUGACGGCCCUAUGGGUUGUAAACUUCUUUUAUACGGGAAUAAAAUGCCUCACGUGUGGGGCUUUGCAUGUACCAUAUGAAUAAGGAUCGGCUAACUCCGUGCCAGCAGCCGCGGUAAUACGGAGGGUCCGAGCGUUAUCCGGAUUUAUUGGGUUUAAAGGGAGCGUAGGUGGAUUGUUAAGUCAGUUGUGAAAGUUUGGGGCUCAACCCUAACAUUGCAGUUGAAACUGGCAUGCUUGAGUCCGGGAGAGGUAGGCGGAAUUCGUGGUGUAGCGGUGAAAUGCUUAGAUAUCACGAAGAACUCCGAUUGCGAAGGCAGCUCGCUGGACUGCAACUGACGCUGAGGCUCGAAAGUGUGGGUAUCAAACAGGAUUAGAUACCCGGGUAGUC